CAGGGGUGUGGAAAUGCUAUGCCUGACUCGCCCGACUCGUACAUUUGAACAACCGGACAAGUAAUUAUUUUUGUCUUGGUUGCCCGUGGACAAGUAAAAAAAUAUACAACAUUUUAUAAGACAAAGUUCAAAUCCAACAAAAACAUAAAAUUAACUUCAAAACGUAUAAAGAUGUUUAAUUUAUGUAAAAGAAACCAAUCUUCAGCAACUAAAAGCAUCAAUGUUCAUGACGAUAAACAUGAUACUGGAAAUAGAUCGAUUAUCAAAAUAAAUAAAAUAAUAAGUAUGGGAACCAAAGUGGCGUAACAUUGCAUUGGCUUUGUCUAUUGACCCUGGAUCGUCGACUAAGUUUUAUCCAUCAUUUCAGUACCGGUUGUGUCAUUUCUUGAAAUUUUGUAUCGAGAUUCAGAUUGGCAAAUACUUA
rnacentral:lncRNA from 1 species